CUCAUAGACUGGGACAACUAUUGGAACGAUAGCUAAUACCGGAUAACAGCAUUAACUGCAUGGUUGAUGUUUGAAAGUUGGUUAUGCUAACACUAUGAGAUGCUUUUCGGUGCAUUAGCUAGUUGGUGGGUAAAAGGCCCACCAAGGCGACGAUGCAUAGCCGACCUGAGAGGGUGAUCGGCCACACUGGGACUGAGACACGGCCCAGACUCUACGGGAGGCAGCAGUAGGGAAUCUUCCGCAAUGGCGAAACUGACGGAGCAACGCCGCGUGAGUGAAGAAGGAUUUCGGUUCGUAAAGCUCUGUUGUUAGGGAAGAAUGGAUAUGUAGUAACUAUACAUGUACGAGACGACCUAACCUAAACGCG
rnacentral:rRNA from 1 species